GUGAGAGGGCUGUUGCUGACCCUUUAAACCGGGGUCGUGCACGCCCGAAGCAUCAUCCUCACACAAUCCAUCUCACCUUUUGUGCAUCACCGCGUGGGUUCCCUCCGAGUCAAUUACAUUGAUCCGGAAAAGGGGCUUGCGUUUUCCACAUAAACCCAGUGUAGAAUGUCCUUUUGCUUUAUUGCAAUCAAUACAACUUUCAACAACGGAUCUCUUGGCUCUCGCAUCGAUGAAGAACGCAGCGAAAUGCGAUACGUAAUGUGAAUUGCAGAAUUCAGUGAAUCAUCRAAUCUUUGAACGCACCUUGCGCCCCUUGGCAUUCCGAGGGGCACACCCGUUUGAGUGUCGUGAUAAUCCUCAACCUUCUUUGUUUCUUUGAAGCGAGAAGGCUUGGAAUUUGGAGGCUUCUGCUGGCCUCUUUCUYGAAGCCAGCUCCUCUUAAAUGGAUUAGCAGGUUCUGCUUAGCCAGAUCCCUCGACGUGAUAAGCCAUUUCUACGUCCCGGGUUGGGCUCUGUCUCUUGCUUACAAUCGUCUCUUUCGAGACUAUACAAUAUAACCCCCUUGACCUCAAAUCGGGUGAGACUACCCGCUGAACUUAAGCAUAUCA
rnacentral:rRNA from 1 species